UUACUACUCCCUCCGAUCCUAAAUUGUUGUCGAAAUAUUACAUGUAUCUAGACGCCUUCUAAGAGUAGAUACAUCCAUAUUUAGGCAAAUUGGAGACAAGAAUUUAGGAUCGGAGGGAGUAUCUC
rfam:Brachypodium distachyon strain Bd21 chromosome 1, whole genome shotgun sequence.